AUUGAACGCUGGCGGAAUGCUUUACACAUGCAAGUCGAACGGUAGAGGGGGCAACCCCUCGAGAGUGGCGAACGGGUGAGUAAUAUAUCGGAACGUGCCCAGUCGUGGGGGAUAACGUAGCGAAAGUUACGCUAAUACCGCAUACGAUCUAAGGAUGAAAGCGGGGGAUCGCAAGACCUCGCGCGAUUGGAGCGGCCGAUAUCAGAUUAGGUAGUUGGUGGGGUAAAGGCUCACCAAGCCAACGAUCUGUAGCUGGUCUGAGAGGACGACCAGCCACACUGGAACUGAGACACGGUCCAGACUCCUACGGGAGGAAGCAGUGGGGAAUUUUGGACAAUGGACGCAAGGCUGAUCCAGCCAUUCCGCGUACAGGAUGAAGGCCCUCGGGUUGUAAACUGCUCUUGUACGGAACGAAAAGGUCUCUCUUAAUACGGGGGACUCAUGACGGUACCGUAAGAAUAAGCACCGGCUAACUACGUGCCAGCAGCCGCCGUAA
rnacentral:rRNA from 1 species